GAUCAACAGUAGGCUAUUAGUAAUUAAACUUUGAGGGAGUCAAAAGUUAUAUGUGGAUUUUCAACUGCACAAGGAGUCAAUACCCCUAAUCUCUACAUUGUUCAUGGGUCAACUAUAUACCCUAAAUUAUUUUUGGGUCCAUUCUCUCAAUCUCUAUACCUUCCCCCAAGCCCAUAGCCUGCCUGGUAGAGCAUUGUAUGCAUAGUAGACAUUUAGAAAAUUUACCAUUUCUUAGCCAACCCUACCCUCUGCUCCUUUGAGCUUUCUGAAACAUUAGACAUUCCUAUCUCCAAUCUCCUUGGUACUAGAAUUGGCACAUUUGCUAUACAUCAACACUUGGACAAAGACUAAUGGCAUCAUCUAGGGAAGAACAAGUAGCAGAUUCGUGAACUUCAUUUCUUUUCAGCCUUUUAUGCCAAGGCUAAUUGCUUGUUUAAGUAAAUGCAUCUGACUUGAAUAGCAAUUGAAGAUGUUUGGGGUAGUUUGAGUAUUGAAUUUCACAUGCAGUGACCAAGGCUAAGAAAAUACAGGUUAAUGUCCUGAAAACUUUUAAUCAAUACAGAGGCUUUUCCUUACAGAAAGAAAUUGGCCUUGGCAAUAGACAAAAUCAAGGGUCAGAAAUUGAAAUGCCCAUAGAGGUCAGACAGGUGACAGAAAUCAGUCAAGUAGGUGGGGAUUGUGGUGAAUUGGCCAGCCGCUCCUUACUUUGACUAUCGUCAUGGGGGGAAGGCAGGCCCAGGAUGGCCAGAUCACCCAAUUUUUAAAGCCAAUCUGAAAAUUCAAGUUUUAUUUAAAUGUGAUAUUUGAGUUUUAAUUAUUGACAGCUAAUUCAAGAAUAUGGAUUGCUCUCAAGGCUAUCAUUUUGUUUCCUCUAAGCUAAACAGAGACGAUUUAUGGAUUUUCCAAUUGUUCUAUCCUCACUACAGGAAUUAACCAUUAUUCCAUUCUGACCUGUGACAGCUGCAUCACAGGGUGUGAUGGGAAAUUACCUAGGGGACACCUGGGGCUGAGUUCUGAGUGAGCAUCAUCUAUUGAGCAGAAAAUCUGUUUGUAUGAGUGUCUCUGAAUAUAUUUGUUUCCUGUUAAAGUAGUGCUUCCUGUAAACAUGCUGCAUCUUGUGUUGGAAAUAGCUGGGAAAACUCCUCCUUUAGUGAGUGAGGGGCUAAUUAUUUAGUGACCUAUCCUCGGCCUCAGUUGAGACACUCCUCACAUGGUUGGGUAUGGUCCUGGUAAAACAAUGACACAGAUCAGAGGUUUCAUAGGACCUUGGGGAGCUAUAGCAUGGGACAGCUAGGAGAAUUCACAUCUUACCCCAAAGAAAAUCCCUACUCAUAGGGAUUUUGGUAAAUUGCAUCUACAGGUUAUUACAUUCAAGGUGAGCUUUGAGGUAUAAAUUUGUAGGAUGUUGUUCUCUACCUUCACACUGAUAACAAUUGAUCAACUGAUAAACAACCAUGCCCCUAUGUCCCCAGAAUGCUCCUUUGUUACUGUGGACACCUUGUUUCUUUCCCUGGAUUCCUCAGACCUCCUGCAAGAUCCAGGCACUACAGUGUUAACGCAUUUCCCUGUACAGCAAAGGGCAGGCUCUGUUCUCUUUGCUAGUGCCCAAGCCAUACCAGCUUAAAAUAUCUAACUGUUAUCUUGGAACACUUGAACUAGAAUGCCAGGACUCCAUAAAAAGCAACAUAGUUCAGAUAUUAGAAUGUUUUAUUCUUACUGCUUUCCUUCUGGUAGCCAUGGGCUAGCAGGAAGCCUGAGAUGAGUGGGAACAAGCAGCUCAAGGAACAGAACACAUAUUUCACUAAAAGCCAGAGGUCCUUUGUUCCAGUCCCAAUAUGUAGUAGAUGCCCUGAAGCAUAAAUUCGUGAGUUUCAUCUUGCAUUUUUCUAUUACUGGAAAAUUUCAACUGGCUAAUUUUAAAACAUAGAUUUCUGCGCCCGCCCCCCCCCCCCAAAUAUGCAGGCUCCGCACACAUACUCUGUGGUAGCUGCGAAACAGUUGGAGAAUUCCCCGUGUUCAGUGACCUCAAACUCACACUUCAAGCUGUGCUGUGGUUUCUUGCUAGUACAAUAAAACAUACAUGAGUUGUGACUGGCUGCAGAGUCAGGAGCGGGUGUUUCAGUGUUAAAUAAUCUGGCUCCAUUAAUUUUGGCGGUUGCUGUCCAUGUUUCUAUUUUUGUCCCCAGUUAGAACUGUCAAGAAAGGAGUCCACCAGACUUCCGCAAGUGCUUUUGUAAAAAUGUCAUUUGCCAAAUCAAAUGUCCGAGGCAGUGAUCACACUUUCACAGUUACACACGCCCAUCACGUGCUUUUCCAUAAAUGACUACCCGAGAGCCUGGGCAGAGAGCAGAGAUGAGGGGCGCGGAGUGAGAGAGACAGUAAUGAGGAGACAGAGCCUGGCUUUCACAAACAAGCCUUUCCCCUAAUUGCUCCCUCCUGUUGCAGCCACCACGGCAGCAGCAGCAGCCUCUGACCUCAGCUGCUGUGGUCUCCCCGGGCGAUGAGAAACCCUGCAAGAGCAGAGAGAGGAGCAGGGCCAACACAGGCAUGCAGAACAUCCCUCAUCUGAUAACCAAUCAAAAUCACAUGUUGUAGUUUCGAGAUUGUCAGGGGUUGAAUUGUGCCCCCACCAUAUUCGUGUUGGAAUCCUAACCCUGGUACCUGAGAAUGUGACCUUAUUAGGAAUUAGGGCAUUGCAGGUGUAAUUAGUUAAGAGGAGGUCAAACUGGAGUAGGUGGGCCUUUGAUCCAAAUGACUGGCGUCCUUAUAAAAAGAGGAGAUUUGGACACAGACACACAGAGGCGGCGUGUCAUGUGAUGAUGGUGGUUGAGACUGGAGGCAUGCAUCAGUAAGUCAAAGAACACCAAGGGUUGCAGGAAACCACCAGAAUUUAAGGAAAGACAAGGAAGGGUUCUCCUCUACAAGUUUGAGAGGGAAUGUGGCCCUGAAGACACUGUGAUUUCAGACUUGUAGCCUCUGGAACUGUGACAUAAUAGAUUUCUGCUGCUUGAAGCCACCCACUUUGUUUUGGACACCAUUGGAUACUAAUACAGAGACCAUGCCUCAAUUUUUGCGUCAGGAGGCAAAGUUUUGAAUUUAAGCGUCUGUUCUACUUAGAGUGCUCCAAAUAUCUGAAUUCAGGGGAAUAACGUCUGUUGAUAUUAUCAACUGUGAUGUUGAUAUUUUCCUACCUGUAGAACUCCCAUCAGAGGGGCAUGAAAGCUCAGAGAUUGAGAACGUGAGCCAUGGGGUCAUUCAUGGGCUUGAUCACUUAGGGGCUGUGUGAUCCUGAGAAUGUUACUCAAUCUCUUUACUUUUUAGGUUCAUCAUCUGUAAAAUGAGAUACUAAUAGUGUCUUCCUCACCUGAUGUUUCAUAAGGAUUUAGUGAGAUGAGGAAAUCGAGGCUCAAGUGAUCUACCCAAGAUUUCACAUUUCCUGGUGACUCCCUAUUUAAGCUCAGCUCCAGAAAUGCUUGCUUGAGGAAAUGCUGCUAGAACCCAGGACUCCAGGAGAGAAUAAGAAACACACGUGCAUUCCCGUUGCCAAAAACCAUUGCUUUGCAGCUGCAGUACAAAAACAGGGACGCGUGUAACUCAAAAUGUUUUCCUGCCGUGAUGGAGAAGAUGAGGCAUUAUCAAGACUAACACUACAAUUUAACGCUUCAGAGGAGCAGUGUAUAUCAUUACUCCCUCUGUAGCCAAGCACACUAAUUAAUAUUUAUUGCACCUGUCAAGCCAGUAGCCACGGCCAAUCCAUUCCUGUGGCAGUUCAAUGGGAGACUGGACACCAUAUUUCUCCUUGGCAGACACGUUUGGGUCAUCAGCAAAGACAGAAGCCCCUUUCCCCAGUGAGACAUCGUAAACGCUCUCUUUGCUCUUGCAAAAUUAAACCAUUAAUUCUUUUCGCGUUAA